rnacentral:rRNA from 1 species
CCUACGGGAGGCAGCAGUGGGGAAUUUUGGACAAUGGGCGAAAGCCUGAUCCAGCAAUGCCGCGUGUGUGAUGAAGGCCUUCGGGUUGUAAAGCACUUUUGGCGGGAACGAAAAGGACUGUGCCAAUACCACGGUUCGAUGACGGUACCCGCAGAAUAAGCACCGGCUAACUACGUGCCAGCAGCCGCGGGAAUACGUAGGGUGCAAGCGUUAAUCGGAAUUACUGGGCGUAAAGAGUGCGCAGGCGGUUUUGCAAGACCGAUGUGAAAUCCCCGGGCUUAACCUGGGAACUGCAUUGGUGACUGCAAGGCUAGAGUGUGUCAGAGGGAGGUGGAAUUCCGCAUGUAGCAGUGAAAUGCGUAGAUAUGCGGAGGAACACCGAUGGCGAAGGCAGCCUCCUGGGAUAACACUGACGCUCAUGCACGAAAGCGUGGGGAGCAAACAGGAUUAGAUACCCUAGUAGUC